UACGAAGGGGGCUAGCGUUGUUCGGCAUUACUGGGCGUAAAGCGCACGUAGGCGGGUUUGUAAGUAGGGGGUGAAAUCCCCGGGCUCAACCCGGGAACUGCCUUCUAGACUGCAAGCCUGGAGGUCAGGAGAGGCGAGUGGAAUUCCGAGUGUAGAGGUGAAAUUCGUAGAUAUUCGGAGGAACGCCAGUGGCGAAGGCGCCUCGCUGGACUGAUACUGACGCUGAGGUGCGAAAGCGUGGGGAGCAAACAGG
rnacentral:rRNA from 1 species